rnacentral:lncRNA from 1 species
ACUAUUAACCUGCCAUUAGGAGAGCAGCCUAUGCUCCUCCAUUCCCUUGACCUAGUCUGGUUUUUCUUAUAACCAGCAGCCCAUAAAUACAUAUAAGACGAGGCAGCCAGGAAGAAUGAGAAUUUGCUCUAUUUAAAAAAACGACAUCACCGUUUAAGGACGUGCAGGCCUUUUUGUAAGAAGUACCCUUGCUGGAAAGUUCUGCCACCUCCAGUCUAAUUCAUACCUUAAAUGUGACCGUUGUA